GAUUGUAGUUCGUUUGAUGCUAUCUAGUUAGCAUGCUAAAUAUGUAGUUGAAGCUAAAUAUUUAGACUGAAGCUAGCUAAGCUUCAAACUACAUAUUUAGCUUGCUAACUAGUUAGCCUCAAACAUUAGGUUCAAUUUAAAACCAAAUAGUAAGUUUGCCGACCCAAUUAGCAAGCUAAUUAAGUAGCAUAAGCUGAAUAGCUAGACAGCAACUUAGCUAAGAUAAGUAUUUGACUCAGAAGCUAAAGGCCAACAGAUGAAACAUUUACAGAAGAGCAGGAAGAAUCUGUUCAUGUUGUGAACUCAGAGUCACAACAUGAAUCCAUCAUGGACGGACUCACUGAGCAUCGUCUCUCGGUUCGGUUCCGUUCGACGUUUGGGGCAGCAAGAACUGGCUGCCUUUACAGCAGGACGGAUCUCAGUCGGACCAACCUGAGGAAAUCUGUGCGUCUCCGGAUCCAUUUCCUGCUUUUAAACAAACUUCUCCCGACCUCUGAGAGCGGAACCGCCUGUUAGACAGGAGGAAGAGGAGGAAGAAGAGGAAGAGGAGGAAGGUCCUGCUGUCGGAACAAGAUGAAACAAAGCAGCAGGUUUCAGGAAACCGCUGUUAAAUAAACGCAUUAUUAUUUCUGCGAGGGACAGGUGGACAUCCCAGGGACAGGUGGACAUCCCGGGGGACAGGUGGACAUCCCAGGGACA